rnacentral:rRNA from 1 species
GCAUAUCAAUAAGCGGAGGAAAAGAAACUAACAAGGAUUCCCCUAGUAACUGCGAGUGAAGCGGGAAAAGCUCAAAUUUAAAAUCUGGUGGUCUCUGGCCAUCCGAGUUGUAAUCUAGAGAAGUGUUACCCGCGUCGGACCGUGUAUAAGUCUCCUGGAAUGGAGCGUCAUAGAGGGUGAGAAUCCCGUCUUUGACACGGACUACCGAGGCUUUGUGGUAUGCUCUCAAAGAGUCGAGUUGUUUGGGAAUGCAGCUCAAAAUGGGUGGUAAAUUCCAUCUAAAGCUAAAUAUUGGCGAGAGACCGAUAGCGAACAAGUACCGUGAGGGAAAGAUGAAAAGAACUUUGGAAAGAGAGUUAAACAGUACGUGAAAUUGCUGAAAGGGAAACGCUUGAAGUCAGUCGCGUUGGCCGGGAAUCAGCCUUGCUUUUGCUUGGUGUACUUUCUGGUUGACGGGCCAGCAUCAGUUUUGACCGGUGGAAAAAGUUCAGGGGAAUGUGGCAUCUUCGGGUGUGUUAUAGCCCUUGUUCGUAUACAUCGGUUGGGACUGAGGAACUCAGCACGCCGCAAGGCCGGGUCUUUGACCACGUUCGUGCUUAGGAUGCUGGCAUAAUGGCUUUAAUCGACCCGUCUUGAAACACGGACCAAGGAGUCUAACAUGCCUGCGAGUGUUUGGGUGGAAAACCCGAGCGCGUAAUGAAAGUGAAAGUUGAGAUCCUUGUCAUGGGGAGCAUCGACGCCCGGACCUGACGUUUUCUGACGGCCCUGCGGUAGAGCAUGUAUGUUGGGACCCGAAAGAUGGUGAACUAUGCCUGAAUAGGGUGAAGCCAGAGGAAACUCUGGUGGAGGCUCGUAGCGAUUCUGACGUGCAAAUCGAUCGUCAAAUUUGGGUAUAGGGGCGAAAGACUAAUCGAACCCAUCUAGUAGCUGGUUCCUGCCGAAG